GCACUCAUGGCUCAGUUGGUAGAGCGCGUCACUAGUAAUGACGAGGUCCAGAGUUCGACUCUCUGUGGGUGCA
rnacentral:tRNA from 14 species